AGGAAUGAGAGGAAUACAGGUGUGGAGCGACACUCCCCAUCCAACCUGACAGAGUUUUAGAGGAUCUGCAGAGAGGAAUGAGAGGAAUACAGGUGUGGAGCGACACUCCCCAUCCAACCUGACAGAGCUUUAGAGGAUCUGCAGAGAGGAAUGAGAGGAAUACAGGUGUGGAGCGACACUCCCCAUCCAACCUGACAGAGUUUUAGAGGAUCUGCAGAGAGGAAUGAGAGGAAUACAGGUGUGGAGCGACACUCCCCAUCCAACCUGACACAGCUUUAGAGGAUCUGUAGAGAGGAAUGAGAGGAAUACAGGUGUGGAGCGACACUCCCCAUCCAACCUGACAGAGCUUUAGAGGAUCUGCAGAGAGGAAUGAGAGGAAUACGGGUGUGGAGCGACACUCCCCAUCCAACCUGACAGAGUUUUAGAGGAACUGCAGAGAGGAAUGAGAGGAAUACAGGUGUGCUAAACUUGUAGCGUCAAACCCAAGAAGACCUGAGGCUGUAAUCGCUGCCAAAGGUGCUUCAACAAAGUACUGAGUAAAGGCUCUGAAUACUGAUGUAAAUGUGAUAUGUUCAUUUGUUUUUGUUUUUAUACAUUAGCUAACAUUUCUAAAAAACUGUUUUUGCUUUGUCAUUGUGGGGUAUUAUGUGCAGAUUGAUGAGGGGAAAACGAUUUAAUCAAUUUAAGAAUAGGGCUGUAAUGUAACAAAAUGUGGAAAAAGUCAAGGGUUCUGAAUGCUCUGUAUGAGUUCAUCCCAAAUGACACACUAUUUCCCAUGUGGGCCCUGGUCAAAAGCAGGGCACUAAAUAUGAACCAUUAGCCAUUUGGGACAAAGCCUAUGCGUAAAUGUUAUACAGCAUCAUGUAGUUGAUGAUGGUGUUGUUAUGAAGCUGUAACGGUGGCUUAUCUGUUGGACUUUGUUCCACGGGAUCAUGAGGAAGUGAGGUAGAGUUGUUUAGUGUGUGUGUGUUUUGCGGGGAGCUGCUGCUGUUGCAGAAGAAACAUCAGCCUGCGCAGAGAAGCACGAGAUUGAACCUCACUCAACUGUCUAGUUUCCCCCGUUAGGUACCACUUUACUGUGGGAAUUGGGAUCGAAUCAACGCAAUUAUUAGCUACUUUCAAUCAAACAUACCGAAACAAAACCAACGAUUCAAGAGACUUUGUUGUAGACAGAACUCAACAGAGUAGGAUUCUAUUGCAUUGACAUGCACAUACUCUAGUCUAAACAGACCGGUGCGCCGUAACCAAUCAGAGCUGCAGUAAGGCCUAUAUGCAAAUAAACCACUACCAUACAUGUGCCAUUCACGUUGAACGUGACUGUCUUUACAGAAUCAGCGGUCGUGAGUAGAUGAGCUGUUUUGAGAUCAUAUUCUUUGCUCGUUGGUGAGUUCUUAGCCCAGUUAUAGAUCAGUUGUAAUCCUCAAUGGGGGAGUGUUUGUUUCCUACAAGACACAACACGUGUGCAUUUCUAGACGUCUUUGAAAAGUGACUCAGAAGCACUCUGAAACCCCCCAACUCAGAGCACCAUUUCCCAGCCACGAGCAGAGCAACAGCCCCUUACCUUUUUGGAGUCCUGGAGGAGACGAGGUACUGUGGACUGGAGCCCUGGAGGAGACGAGGUACUGUGGACUGGAGCCCUGGAGGAGACGAGGUACUGUGGACUGGAGCCCUGGAGGAGACGAGGUACUGUGGACUGUGUGGAGCUAAAGAAUAGAGCUGCUACUCCCUCGAGACAGUGAGAAAGUGAACCAGGAGGUGGAGUUGAUCAGGAGCACCCAGGCUCUGUUGAAGAGAACGCUGAGUCAGGCUGUCAAUCAAAUCAAUUACUGUGUAGGGCACUGCACAGUUGGGUGACCAGGGCCAUCUGGUCUCGUGGGGGGAUUUCAGGCAUCUGUGAAGACUACCUGUGUCCUGCAUAACUUCAUGAUGAUGAGCAGGAGGGGACCUGCAGCGCUCCGCCGUGUGCCAGAGGAGAGGUCUGCUGCUCUGCAGGAUGUUGCCAGGAUGGGGGCCAACAACGCAGCACAGGAGGCAAUCGGUGUGCAGGAGACCUUCACCUCCUACUUCUUCACAAAGGAUGCUGUUCCCUGGCAACACCAUAGACUACACUAUGCUCAACCAAAGCCAUCCACAUCGCAAAAAGAGUAUUCUUCCAUUUACUUAGCUAUGUCAACUGCAGUUAUUCAAUUUCCAGUUUCUCUUCCUUUGAUUUCUACUUUGCGGGUGAGGGUGCUAUUUAGGUAGGAGUGGUGUCUGUACAAAAACAAAACAGACUCUCACCCAUUUUGAAAACAUUUAGAACAAUUAGACACCCUAUAAGCCACACCUACACACUUGUCUAUUGCUAUAAAGAAUAGUUAACACACCUCACACAGGCCUUUUUUUCAGGUGAAUACGUUUUAGAAAAAAAUAUUAAAGUGUGUGUUUCUGGAAAAAGGGCCA